GCAGACAUGGUAUAAUGGGUAUUACUUUAGCCUUCCAAGCUAAAAAUACGGGUUCGAUCCCCGUUGUCUGCUCCA
rnacentral:tRNA from 1 species